GACGUUGCAAAACGAAGAUGCUUAGCUGCGGAAGACACUUCAAAUGUCGAAACUGAAGACGAUAUGGGCUAUCCUCGACAACGAAAAAGGAAACCAUGCUUCAAAUAUGAAGAAGAGAAUUCCGAGAAUAACAAACGCAAUCAUCACUCGUCUCAAUCCAAGAAGAAGUGUUCGCCAUCUUCAUAUGAGAAUACACCUUCAAAAGAAAUAAAUCCUCC